rnacentral:lncRNA from 1 species
CCGACACGGGGAAAGGCUGUCCCCAGGUGCACAGAGGACUGAUCCCCGGAGACCAGUCCCCAGCAGGCCAGCUGGGUGAGGAGGGCAAGGAAUGAAGAUGUUUAUAUGUGACGAGACUGAAGCUCGACUUGUCAUCUCUAAGUGCACGUAGCUGUGGAUUCCUAGAACUGGGCAGCCCUGCUCUACAGUGCGACAACAUGAAGGCCAGCAGUCAUUGGACAACAGGGAGAAAGGAGUUCAGCACCUGUGAAGCAAAGCCAAGAAGUGGCACCUGCAGGCUGGCAGAGCUAUCGCUGGUCCUGAAGCUGAGAGACAGUUUCUUAGAGGGAAGUCAGAAGUCGCCCACACAAUCUUCACAGACACCAGCUUUACCAUAACAUUUGAAUACAGUGGCAACUUCCUGUCCCGAAGCCUCGCCUUUUCUGGUACUUCUGCCCGAGCAACUGUAGGUAAUAAUCAAAGGACUACCCAGUGCCUCGUUUCCCAUGGUCAAUGAGUUCAUCUCCACGUGCAUGGUCAAAGAGGAGAAGAGCGAGCCCAGCCGCAGAGAUCCAGCUCUGUGGUCUGUUCCCUGAGUCAGUCAGUAUGUGUCUGCUCAGGAAAAACAGUCAGUGCCCGAUUGCCUCACAUGGGAACUGGCUACAGAGAGAGUGCGGAGGCCGGAUGAUGAAAGAGUUGCUGAGAGGAGAGGGCUGGAGAAGCAAAGGAAGAAGGCUGUGUGUGUGUGUGUGUGUGUGUGUGUGUGUGUGUGUGUGUGUGUGCUUCUGCUGCUAGGGUAGGAAGAGCACAUACCCAUGUCUUGGGUAAUUGGUGCUACUGCGACAGACUAUCUCAGACCCCACCCAGCUUAACUUAACUUAUAAACAGCAGGGAUUUAACCUGCACACUGCUGGGGCCUGGGGCACUGGUGAGCGAUGAUUCUACUGUAGGCUUCCUGUUUUGUAGUUGGUGCUUGUCUCAGAGUCUUCGGAUGGUGGAAGGGCUGAGGGAUCUACCCCCUCCCUUUUAUUGUUCUCAGUGUGAAUGUGUGCGUGCGUGUUUGUGUCUGUGCCUGUGUGCACGUGGGCACAUACGGCACAUGGCAGGACAUGCCUGGGAAGGUCAGAGGAAAAUCACAAAUGUGGGUUUUCACUUUGUAGCUUAUUUGAGAAAAAUUCUUCUCUCCCUGUCUCUAUAAAGAAUAUCUUUCGCUGGGCAGUGGUGGCGCAUGACUUUAAUCCCAGCACUUGAGAGGCAGAGGCAGGUAGAUUUCUGAGUUCGAGGCCAGCCUGGUCUACAGA